UACCGCGGUUAUACGAGAGGCUCAAGUUGAUAAUCUAACGGCACAAAAGGUGGUUACGUAAAACAUUAAACUAAGGCCGAACGCUUUCAAAGCUGUUAUACGCACUCGAAAGUAUGAAGACCAAACACGAAAGUGGCCUUAUAGAAGCCGACGCCACGAAAGCUAAGAAA
rnacentral:rRNA from 1 species